rnacentral:misc_RNA from 1 species
AAGUCGUAACAAGGUUUCCGUAGGUGAACCUGCGGAAGGAUCAUUAUUGAAUAUUCCUGAUGAGUUGUAGCUGGCUCUUUGGAGCAUGUGCACGCUUGUCUUGAUCUCAUUCAUCCACCUGUGCACAUUUUGUAGUCUUUUGGGCUGAGUCGAGUAUCGGAUGGAUGUCUAUCCGGAUGUGAGGACUGCUGAGUGCGAAAGCAUACGGCUCUUCUCUGUUUGACCUCACCCUUGAGUACUAUGUAUUCAUAUACCACAUAGUAUGUUGUAGAAUGUGAUCAUUGGGCCUUUGUGCCUAUAAUAAUCAUAUACAACUUUCAGCAACGGAUCUCUUGGCUCUC